GCCUGGCUGGCUCAGUAGGUAGAGCAUGUGACUCUUGAUCUUGAGGUCGUGAGUUUGAGCCCCACAUGGGGCA
rfam:Canis lupus familiaris chromosome 9, whole genome shotgun sequence.